GACGAACGCUGGCGGCGUGCCUAAUACAUGCAAGUCGAGCGAGCGAAACUAACUGAUCCCUCCGGGGUGACGUUAGUGGAUCUAGCGGCGGACGGGUGAGUAACACGUGGGCAACCUGCCUGUAAGACUGGGAUAACUCGCGGAAACGCGAGCUAAUACCGGAUGAUACUUUGAACUGCAUGGUUCGAAUAUUAAUGGCGGCGCAAGCUGUCACUUACAUAUGGGCCCGCGGCGCAUUAGCUAGUUGGUGAGGUAACGGCUCACCAAGGCCACGAUGCGUAGCCGACCUGAGAGGGUGAUCGGCCACACUGGGACUGAGACACGGCCCAGACUCCUACGGGAGGCAGCAGUAGGGAAUCUUCCGCAAUGGACGAAAGUCUGACGGAGCAACGCCGCGUGAGUGAUGAAGGUUUUCGGAUCGUAAAACUCUGUUGUUAGGGAAGAACAAGUACAAGAGUAACUGCUUGUACCUUGACGGUACCUAACCAGAAAGCCCCGGCUAACUACGUG
rnacentral:rRNA from 1 species